UACGUAGGCAGCGAGCGUUGUUCGGAAUUACUGGGCGUAAAGAGUGUGUAGGCGGUGCUCUAAGUUCGGUGUGAAAUCUCCUGGCUCGACUGGGAGGGUGCGCCGGAAACUGGAGUGCUUGAGCGUGGGAGAGGAAAGCGGAAUUCCUGGUGUAGCGGUGAAAUGCGUAGAUAUCAGGAGGAACACCUGUGGUGUAGACGGCUUUCUGGACCAUAGCUGACGCUGAGACACGAAAGCGUGGGUAGCAAACAGG
rnacentral:rRNA from 1 species